AACAGAGGAGAGAAAGAGUAAAUUCAAGAAGCAACUUAAAUAUUUCGAGAAAAUCUUUCAAAAGUAAAACAGGAACUAACGGUGGUGAAGAAGGGGAGACAAAAAGCCGACCACAGUAGUAUCUUCUGCACUUAAAUGUCGUUUUACCUUAAUGGGAAAGUCAACCUUUAGCCUCCAUGUUUAUGUUAAGAAAAAUCAAGCUAUACUACAUUUGGUUUACAUACUUUUUUUCAGGUCCUCUACUUUCCCCAAAUUUAAAAUCACAAAGGAUAAUAAUGUAUAAUCAGAAGAAAUUUGUAUUUAAUUCCUGGUGAGACAAAAAACCCAAAUUCUAGUCACUAUCACUUUUUCUCUGCUUCUCUAUUAGGAACUGAACUGUAUUUCAGAAAGCUGACCAGUAGAAAAAAUGGUUUUAUUUCACAGUAGCACUGCAUUUAUUGGGAACAUGGAACACAAUAUAAACUUUUCUUGAAUACUCAACAAUUUUUUCUUUGAAGAACAAUCACUUAUACUGUGCUGUAAGUGAAGCAAGCUCCUCAGAAGCCACCAAAGGAGGAAAAAUGUGUGUCUGGACAUUAAAAGAGGUCUUUCUGAAGAGUGUGAUGAAGGUGCAAGAAUGAAUGCUAGCAGAAAAUAAUCAAAACCCAAGAGACAUACACAUGGAUUCACGAAACACUGAAAUUUAGUAUUCGAUAAAACAUGUAUAUGCCUAAAACCUUCAAACCA